rnacentral:lncRNA from 1 species
UUGAGAUCGGCUGAAGAGAGCGGGCCCAGGCUCUGUGAGGAGGCAAGCAUCAUGCACUAUCCUGUUGGGAGCAUCCUCACCUCCAAGACACUGUUUGGGCCUGAGGAGAAGGAGUCUGCAGUGACCCUGUCGUGGUAUUUUCCACAAGAAUUCUGAAAUGAAGCAAGCACAGGUUCUCAGGGGACAGGCUGACCAGGAUCACCAGGAAGCUCCAGAGGAUCCCCAGGAGGCCCUAGAGGAGCACCAAAGGAGAAGAUCUGCCAGUGGGUCUCCAUUGCCCAGCUCCUGCCCACACUCCUGCCUGUUGCGGUGACCAGAGUCGUCAUGUCUCUUGAGCAGAAGAGUCAGCACUGCAAGCCUGAGGAAGGCCUUGACACCCAAGAAGAGGCCCUGGGCCUGGUGGGUGUGCAGGCUGCCACUACUGAGGAGCAGGAGGCUGUGUCCUCCUCCUCUCCUCUGGUCCCAGGCACCCUGGGGGAGGUGCCUGCUGCUGGGUCACCAGGUCCUCUCAAGAGUCCUCAGGGAGCCUCCGCCAUCCCCACUGCCAUCGAUUUCACUCUAUGGAGGCAAUCCAUUAAGGGCUCCAGCAACCAAGAAGAGGAGGGGCCAAGCACCUCCCCUGACCCAGAGUCUGUGUUCCGAGCAGCACUCAGUAAGAAGGUGGCUGACUUGAUUCAUUUUCUGCUCCUCAAGUAUUAAGUCAAGGAGCCGGUCACAAAGGCAGAAAUGCUGGAGAGAGUCAUCAAAAAUUACAAGCGCUGCUUUCCUGUGAUCUUCGGCAAAGCCUCCGAGUCCUUGCAGCUGGUCUUUGGCAUUGACGUGAAGGAAGCGGACCCCACCAGCAACACCUACACCCUUGUCACCUGCCUGG